UGGUGGAGUGAUUUGUCUGGUUAAUUCCGUUAACGAACGAGACCUCGACCUGCUAAAUAGUUGCGCGAGACCUUCGGGUCUUGUAGUCAACUUCUUAGAGGGACUAUCAGCUCCUAGCUGGUGGAAGUUCGAGGCAAUAACA
rnacentral:rRNA from 1 species